AGUGAACGCUGGCGGUAGGCCUAACACAUGCAGGUCGAACGGCAGCACAGUAAGAGCUUGCUCUUACGGGUGGCGAGUGGCGGACGGGUGAGGAAUACAUCGGAAUCUACUUUUUCGUGGGGGAUAACGUAGGGAAACUUACGCUAAUACCGCAUACGACCUACGGGUGAAAGCAGGGGAUCUUCGGACCUUGCGCGAUUGAAUGAGCCGAUGUCGGAUUAGCUAGUUGGCGGGGUAAAGGCCCACCAAGGCGACGAUCCGUAGCUGGUCUGAGAGGAUGAUCAGCCACACUGGAACUGAGACACGGUCCAGACUCCUACGGGAGGGAGCAGUGGGGAAUAGUGGACAAUGGGCGCAAGCCUGAUCCAGCCAUACCGCGUGGGUGAAGAAGGCCUUCGGGUUGUAAAGCCCUUUUGUUGGGAAAGAAAAGCAGCAGGUUAAUACCCCGCUGUUCUGACGGUACCCAAAGAAUAAGCACCGGCUAACUUCGUG
rnacentral:rRNA from 1 species